AGAGUGGGAGCAAGCCUUAAACGAGAAUAAACCAUGCAAUCACUGUGUUCCUCAUCAUCAUUUUGUGCCUACCAUAGCACACAGCGCUGAUGCCACAGGGUGGAGUGAGCCGAGACAUGGAAUCCCAGCCCUGAUUUGUCCUAGCUGUGUGGCUGGAGCAAGCUGUUUAACCUCUCUGAGCUUCUGCUGCCAUUUCUGCAAAGUGCGAUCAGCACUACCUACUUCACAGGCUGGAAAGCUCCUGAAUGCAAGUCUAUUUCUUCAUCUGGGACCAAAUGGAAGGAAGACAUCAAAGGCAAUUUUGACUCUCCUGGACUUUUUCUUCAUUCUUUUCAAGUACCUAAGGGAGCCAUGUGAUUAUUGCUUAUUUAUGUAAAAGCCACUGGUAAUAAAAUAGAUCAUAGUUAUUGUUCCUGUUGGGCAGGUUUCCACAGAGUUCACAAAUGAAAGCGAAAUUCGUGCUGUAA